rnacentral:rRNA from 1 species
CGGGGAUGCAUGAGCGAAGCCUGAUGCAGCGACGCCGCGUGGAGGAUGAAGGUUUUCGGAUUGUAAACUCCUUUUGCAGGGGAAGAUAAUGACGGUGCCCUGCGAAUAAGCCACGGCUAACUCUGUGCCAGCGGCCGCGGUAAUAAUACCG